CUGCAAAUCGAAAUUGGGUAGGUUGCAUACCUUCAGGUUCGAUUCUCUCUUGCAUUCCAAGCUCGCUCGACCGUCAGAAUCAGAACCUUAAGGACGGAAAUAUUCAGGCUUGUGAUGUUCUCUCAAGAGCAAG